rnacentral:rRNA from 1 species
UUAGCAUAUCAAUAAGCGGAGGAAAAGAAACCAACCGGGAUUACCUCAGUAACGGCGAGUGAAGCGGUAAUAGCUCAAAUUUGAAAUCUGGCUUCGGUCCGAGUUGUAAUUUGUAGAAGAUGCUUCGGGUGUGGCUCCGGUCUAAGUUCCUUGGAACAGGACGUCAUAGAGGGUGAGAAUCCCGUAUGUGACUGGGUGCCUUCGCCUAUGUGAAGCUCUUUCGACGAGUCGAGUUGUUUGGGAAUGCAGCUCAAAAUGGGUGGUAUAUUUCAUCUAAAGCUAAAUAUUGGCCAGAGACCGAUAGCGCACAAGUAGAGUGAUCGAAAGAUGAAAAGCACUUUGGAAAGAGAGUUAAACAGUACGUGAAAUUGUUGAAAGGGAAGCGUUUGCAAUCAGACUUGCACGUUGCCGAUCAUCUGGUGUUCUCACCAGUGCACUCGGUUUCGUUCAGGCCAGCAUCGGUUUGGGUGGUUGGAUAAAGGCCUUGGGAAUGUGGCUCCUUUCGGGGAGUGUUAUAGCCCUCGGUGCAAUGCAGCCUACCUGGACCGAGGACCGCGCUUCGGCUAGGAUGCUGGCGUAAUGAUUGUAAACGACCCGUCUUGAAACACGGACCAAGGAGUCUAACAUCUAUGCGAGUAUUUGGGUGUUAAACCCAUAUGCGUAAUUAACGUGAACGGAGGUAAGAGCCCUUAAGGGUGCAUUAUCGACCGGUCCUGAUGUCUUCGGAAGGAUCUGAGUAAGAGCAUAGCUGUUGGGACCCGAAAGAUGGUGAACUAUGCCUGAAUAGGGUGAAGCCAGAGGAAACUCUGGUGGAGGCUCGCAGCGGUUCUGACGUGCAAAUCGAUCGUCAAAUUUGGGUAUAGGGGCGAAAGACUAAUCGAACCAUCUAGUAGCUGGUUCCUGCCGAAGUCUCC